rnacentral:rRNA from 1 species
AUUGAACGCUGGCGGCAGGCCUAACACAUGCAAGUCGAGCGGGGUUUUCGGACCUAGCGGCGGACGGGUGAGUAAUGCGUAGGAAGCUGCCCGAUAGAGGGGGAUACCAGUUGGAAACGACUGUUAAUACCGCAUAAUGUCUACGGACCAAAGUGUGGGACCUUCGGGCCACAUGCUAUCGGAUGCGCCUACGUGGGAUUAGCUAGUUGGUGAGGUAAUGGCUCACCAAGGCGACGAUCUCUAGCUGGUUUGAGAGGAUGAUCAGCCACACUGGGACUGAGACACGGGCCAGACUCCUACGGGAGGCAGCAGUGGGGAAUAUUGGACAAUGGGCGCAAGCCUGAUCCAGCCAUGCCGCGUGUGUGAAGAAGGCCUUCGGGUUGUAAAGCACUUUCAGCGAGGAGGAAGGGUGGUGUGUUAAUAGCACAUCAUUUUGACGUUACUCGCAGAAGAAGCACCGGCUAACUCUGUGCCAGCCGCCGCGGUAAGAC